CUCUGAUAUAGGAGUGAUGGAGAGCAGAGGUAAAGCACUAAAUAUGGAGCAGCCAUUUAGUUUAAAUUCGAGCGAGAGUGAGUGAGUGAGAGACAAAGAAGCAGACAGAAAGAGAGAGAGAGACAGAUUGAGAGAGAGAGAUAGAAAGUGAAGGAGAGGAAUAGAUGUUUGAGAGUGAGGGAGACUAAGAGAGGGUGAGAAACAGAAAAAGGGGGAGAGAGGGCUCUGAUAUAGGAGUGAUGGAGAGCAGAGGUAAAGCACUAAAUAUGGAGCAGCCAUUUAGUUUAAAUGUGAUCGGGUGAGAUGUGAUGUAUUAAGAAAUCUGUCUGUCUCUCUUGAGCUCAAACCACAUCCUGCGUACAGGCCCGUGGCAGAGACCAGUUUUCUGCUCUACUUCUUAGAUGUCAAUUUGUACAGGAUUAUAUAGGAGGCUUAAUCUCUGACUUCAAAGUGAGCUCUGUAAUUUGGCUGGAGCUUGAGCCAAAGCGACCCUCUUUCCCUGUUUACUGUUCAACUGCUUUUAACUAGAGAUGCACCGAAACUAAAUUUCUCAGCCGAUACAGAUAACCGAUUGUUCAGAGUGAUCUCGGCCGAUACGAUACUUCUGCCUUUUAUACCAUCCAUCUUCUAUACCGCUUUAUCCUUUUCAGGGUCACGGGGGAAACCAGGAGCCUAUCCCAGGUGCCCUUUACACCUUCUUUUAAAUUAAUAAUAAUUCAUUCCACAAUUCUGAAGGAAAUGCCAAUAAAAACUUGAUUCUCUCCAUUUCAACAAGUUGUUUCACAGUAACUGGUCUCAUAAACAUUAACACAUUACUCACAUUAACAUGGACUAAAUUCUAAAGAUUAAAGUAAGAUUUCUUCACUUAUUGAACGUUAUUAAUUCAUAUUAACAGAAUUAAUUGAAUUCUAAAAAAUCCUGCUGAUAGUCUCACAUUCACUCUCCACAAACAAGCAUUUCUACUUCAUCACUGACAUCAAGCUGGUAAUAUGUAAUAUCAACUUUUUUAUAUAUGAACAUUAACUGGAUAUGAAAUAUACUACUCUACAAAUAUAUUUUUCUGUGCAAUAUAUACUUUCUUGUCAACUCAUCUUCAUUUAAAUCUUUCAACGGUGUACCGGCGCUUUAAUUCAGCCUGAGCAGCGCGGCACAAAAAAAAAAUUGACUCGACGCCGAAGCUCCCGCUUCAGUGCUGCAGCGUCCGGUGUAAAAUUUUACCAGUGCAGAGAUUACAAACUGCGGUUUUGUCGUCAUUCCACACAAGAGACGUCGUCUUUACACACAGCACGAAAUUCAUGUGUUUUCCCGCCCUCUUUUGAUUGACAGGAUAUAAUUGGCCCUGAUCAUCGAUGUUUUUAAAAAUUGCCAUUAUAGGCAGAUACAUCGGUACAUCUCUACUUUUAACCUGCCCUCCAGAAUCUUUCACAGUAUAACUGUUCAUCGCUGCCUUUUCAUUUUGCACUCUAAUGCUGAAUUUGAAGGGUAGCAACAAUAAGAGUUUUUAAUCUUAUCUUAGUGUAUAUACACUCACCGUCCACUUUAAUAGGAUCACGUGUACACCUGCUCAGUUAUGCUGUUCUCUAAUCAGUCGACCAUGUGGCAGCAGCACAAGGCAUAAAAUAAUGCAGAUACAGGUCAGGAGCUCCAGAUAAUGCUCACAUCAGCAUUGAUUCAACAUUGGAAUUGGGAAGACGUGUGAUCUCCGUGACUUUAACCGUGGCAUGCUGGUCGGUGCCCGAUGGGCAG
ensembl:lncRNA